rnacentral:rRNA from 1 species
UACGAAGGGGGCUAGCGUUGCUCGGAAUCACUGGGCGUAAAGCGCACGUAGGCGGAUUGCUAAGUCAGGGGUGAAAUCCUGGAGCUCAACUCCAGAACUGCCUUUGAUACUGGCGAUCUUGAGUCCGGGAGAGGUGAGUGGAACUGCGAGUGUAGAGGUGAAAUUCGUAGAUAUCUGGAGGAAUACCGGUGGCGAAGGCGGCAUCCUGGACCAUUACUGACGCUGAGGCGCGAAAGCUAGGGGAGCAAACGGG